rnacentral:rRNA from 1 species
GACGAACCGAGCGAACGUUGUUCGGAAUCACUGGGCUUAAAGGGCGCGUAGGCGGGCUGUCAAGUCUGGGGUGAAAUCCCGCGGCUCAACCGUGGAACUGCCUCAGAUACUGACGGUCUCGAGGGAGGUAGGGGCGAGCGGAACUGAUGGUGGAGCGGUGAAAUGCGUUGAUAUCAUCAGGAACUCCGGUGACGAAGGCGGCUCGCUGGACCUCUUCUGACGCUGAGGCGCGAAAGCCAGGGGAGCAAACGGG